UACAGAGGGGGCAAGCGUUGUUCGGAAUUACUGGGCGUAAAGGGCGCGUAGGCGGCCUUCUAAGUCGAACGUGAAAUCCCUGGGCUCAACCCAGGAACUGCGUCCGAGACUGGAAGGCUUGAAUCCGGGAGAGGGAUGUGGAAUUCCAGGUGUAGCGGUGAAAUGCGUAGAUAUCUGGAGGAACACCGGUGGCGAAGGCGGCAUCCUGGACCGGUAUUGACGCUGAGGCGCGAAAGCCAGGGGAGCAAACGGG
rnacentral:rRNA from 1 species